rnacentral:rRNA from 1 species
UUAAGCGACUAAGCGUACACGGUGGAUGCCCUGGCAGUCAGAGGCGAUGAAGGGCGUGCUAAUCUGCGAUAAGCGCCGGUAAGGUGAUAUGAACCGUUAUAACCGGCGAUACCCGAAUGGGGAAACCCAGUGUGACUCGUCACACUAUCAUUAACUGAAUCCAUAGGUUAAUGAGGCGAACCGGGGGAACUGAAACAUCUAAGUACCCCGAGGAAAAGAAAUCAACCGAGAUUCCCCCAGUAGCGGCGAGCGAACGGGGAGGAGCCCAGAGCCUGAAUCAGCAUGUGUGUUAGUGGAAGCGUCUGGAAAGGCGCGCGAUACAGGGUGACAGCCCCGUACACAAAAGCGCAUGUGCUGUGAGCUCGAUGAGUAGGGCGGGACACGUGGUAUCCUGUCUGAAUAUGGGGGGACCAUCCUCCAAGGCUAAAUACUCCUGACUGACCGAUAGUGAACCAGUACCGUGAGGGAAAGGCGAAAAGAACCCCGGCGAGGGGAGUGAAAAAGAACCUGAAACCGUGUACGUACAAGCAGUGGGAGCACAGGUUUACCUGUGUGACUGCGUACCUUUUGUAUAAUGGGUCAGCGACUUAUAUUCUGUAGCAAGGUUAACCGCAUAGGGGAGCCGGAGGGAAACCGAGUCUUAAUUGGGCGUUAAGUUGCAGGGUAUAGACCCGAAACCCGGUGAUCUAGCCAUGGGCAGGUUGAAGGUUGGGUAACACUAACUGGAGGACCGAACCGACUAAUGUUGAAAAAUUAGCGGAUGACCUGUGGCUGGGGGUGAAAGGCCAAUCAAACCGGGAGAUAGCUGGUUCUCCCCGAAAGCUAUUUAGGUAGCGCCUCGUGAAUUCAUCUCCGGGGGUAGAGCACUGUUUCGGCUAGGGGGCCAUCCCGGCUUACCAACCCGAUGCAAACUGCGAAUACCGGAGAAUGUUAUCACGGGAGACACACGGCGGGUGCUAACGUCCGUCGUGAAGAGGGAAACAACCCAGACCGCCAGCUAAGGUCCCAAAGUCAUGGUUAAGUGGGAAACGAUGUGGGAAGGCCCAGACAGCCAGGAUGUUGGCUUAGAAGCAGCCAUCAUUUAAAGAAAGCGUAAUAGCUCACUGGUCGAGUCGGCCUGCGCGGAAGAUGUAACGGGGCUAAACCAUGCACCGAAGCUGCGGCAGCGACGCUGAUGCGUUGUUGGGUAGGGGAGCGUUCUGUAAGCCUGUGAAGGUGGCCUGUGAGGGUUGCUGGAGGUAUCAGAAGUGCGAAUGCUGACAUAAGUAACGAUAAAGCGGGUGAAAAGCCCGCUCGCCGGAAGACCAAGGGUUCCUGUCCAACGUUAAUCGGGGCAGGGUGAGUCGACCCCUAAGGCGAGGCCGAAAGGCGUAGUCGAUGGGAAACGGGUUAAUAUUCCCGUACUUGGUGUUACUGCGAAGGGGGGACGGAGAAGGCUAUGUUGGCCGGGCGACGGUUGUCCCGGUUUAAGCGUGUAGGCUGGUUUUCCAGGCAAAUCCGGAAAAUCAAGGCUGAGGCGUGAUGACGAGGCACUACGGUGCUGAAGCAACAAAUGCCCUGCUUCCAGGAAAAGCCUCUAAGCAUCAGGUAACAUCAAAUCGUACCCCAAACCGACACAGGUGGUCAGGUAGAGAAUACCAAGGCGCUUGAGAGAACUCGGGUGAAGGAACUAGGCAAAAUGGUGCCGUAACUUCGGGAGAAGGCACGCUGACAUGUAGGUGAAGUGAUUUACUCACGGAGCUGAAGUCAGUCGAAGAUACCAGCUGGCUGCAACUGUUUAUUAAAAACACAGCACUGUGCAAACACGAAAGUGGACGUAUACGGUGUGACGCCUGCCCGGUGCCGGAAGGUUAAUUGAUGGGGUCAGCGCAAGCGAAGCUCCUGAUCGAAGCCCCGGUAAACGGCGGCCGUAACUAUAACGGUCCUAAGGUAGCGAAAUUCCUUGUCGGGUAAGUUCCGACCUGCACGAAUGGCGUAAUGAUGGCCAGGCUGUCUCCACCCGAGACUCAGUGAAAUUGAACUCGCUGUGAAGAUGCAGUGUACCCGCGGCAAGACGGAAAGACCCCGUGAACCUUUACUAUAGCUUGACACUGAACAUUGAGCCUUGAUGUGUAGGAUAGGUGGGAGGCUUUGAAGUGUGGACGCCAGUCUGCAUGGAGCCGACCUUGAAAUACCACCCUUUAAUGUUUGAUGUUCUAACGUGGACCCGUUACCCGGGUUGCGGACAGUGUCUGGUGGGUAGUUUGACUGGGGCGGUCUCCUCCUAAAGAGUAACGGAGGAGCACGAAGGUUGGCUAAUCCUGGUCGGACAUCAGGAGGUUAGUGCAAUGGCAUAAGCCAGCUUGACUGCGAGCGUGACGGCGCGAGCAGGUGCGAAAGCAGGUCAUAGUGAUCCGGUGGUUCUGAAUGGAAGGGCCAUCGCUCAACGGAUAAAAGGUACUCCGGGGAUAACAGGCUGAUACCGCCCAAGAGUUCAUAUCGACGGCGGUGUUUGGCACCUCGAUGUCGGCUCAUCACAUCCUGGGGCUGAAGUAGGUCCCAAGGGUAUGGCUGUUCGCCAUUUAAAGUGGUACGCGAGCUGGGUUUAGAACGUCGUGAGACAGUUCGGUCCCUAUCUGCCGUGGGCGCUGGAGAACUGAGGGGGGCUGCUCCUAGUACGAGAGGACCGGAGUGGACGCAUCACUGGUGUUCGGGUUGUCAUGCCAAUGGCACUGCCCGGUAGCUAAAUGCGGAAGAGAUAAGUGCUGAAAGCAUCUAAGCACGAAACUUGCCCCGAGAUGAGUUCUCCCUGAGACUUAGAGUCUCCUGAAGGAACGUUGAAGACGACGACGUUGAUAGGCCGGGUGUGUAAGCGCAGCGAUGCGUUGAGCUAACCGGUACUAAUGAACCGUGAGGCUUAACCUU